UGGCGGAGCACCUAUCGCCCUGGCGCAGCACUCUAAAAUGCAUGUUGGGUUGGGCCAGCAAGAAGAGUUCGACUAGGGCCUGGACUCCCAUGGGGGGGCAACAAUGGGGAAUCUUGGACAAUGGGCAAAAGCCCGAUCCAGCAAUAUCGCGUGAGUGCAGAAGGGCAAUGCCGCUUGUAAAGCUCUUUCAUCGAGUGCACGAUCAUGACAGGACUCGAGGAAGAAGCCCAGGCUAACUCCAUGCCAGCAGCCGCGGUAAGACACUACUAGGAAA
rnacentral:ncRNA from 1 species